AACGUAGGCAGCGAGCGUUGUUCGGAAUUACUGGGCGUAAAGAGUGUGUAGGCGGUGCUCUAAGUUCGGUGUGAAAUCUCCUGGCUUAACUGGGAGGGUGCGCCGGAAACUGGGGUGCUCGAGCGUGGGAGAGGAAAGCGGAAUUCCUGGUGUAGCGGUGAAAUGCGUAGAUAUCAGGAGGAACACCUGUGGUGUAGACAGCUUUCUGGACCAUUGCUGACGCUGAGACACGAAAGCGUGGGUAGCAAACAGG
rnacentral:rRNA from 1 species